rnacentral:sRNA from 1 species
UGUCUGUAAUCGCCACACGGUCGCCAAC